GACAUCAAUAUUUCUUCAUGGGUGAGC
rnacentral:sRNA from 1 species